AGUCCACAAUGAGUCAGUAUCCAGGAAAUAGAGGGGGGAAUGGAAAAGGAAGAUUCCAAGAAUUUUCAAAAACACAAGAAAAGAGCUUUGGACUUCCACAGGCCGUGGAUUGGGGAGAGGUAUAAGCCAAUAUAAGUCCAUCUUUUGGGACUUGGAUUUUAGCCAGACCCUAUCUCCCAUCAUCGGCUGCAAGACGACAGUUCCAAACACAUGCCUGUAAUUGUCCUCAGCGUUGGCUUCCUUCUCGAGGACUUGGGUACUGUUCUUCAUGAGCCCUAAUUUUACGGCAUGUUGGAAUGGCUCAACAUUGAAGCCAAAGUGGUACGUGCCAGGUGAACAUCCUCACGGUAAGACUGAAGUGGUACAUGCCAGGGGAACAUCAUCCCCGUGGUAAGAUUGAAGUAGUACAUGCCAGGUGAACAUUCCUGUGGUAAGAU
rnacentral:sRNA from 1 species